CCGCACAGCACCCGCACCCCGCGCACCGCAGCACGGCAGGGCAACAGCCGCCAGUUCAGCUCUAAGGAAAAUACUGGCCAGCGGUGAUCCUACCCUGACCCUGCUGGUCAUCGUCCACUAACAUGUAAUGUUACCAGUGAAGGUAAGCGAAGAGGCCAAAAGGGAUAAAAAGCAGUAACAGAACUUGAGAGGGUCUCUGGUAAGAGACAUACUGCCUGGAACAGCUGGAAUGCACACCCUGUGUGAACACACAUACAAGGUUUUUUAGAGGACAAGUUUUAUGACAGAACACCCGCCUGUAAAUCGUAUCAGUAACAGAAGAUUGCACAGGUUCAUCUCCCAGUAGCAAGAGAAAUGCCAUGCUCUGACAUAACUAGCCGUUAACAGCAUGGGGAAAACAAAAACCAUGAAAGUGUAUCAAGGAGGAGAAUAUAUUCAUGCUUGAAGUGAGGUUGAGUUAUAACUGAUAUCUGAAACAGUUUGGAGCAUCCCUUCACAACUCCAGAUAGUAAAAAUGGCUCUGGGAAAAAAACAUUGCUUCUGACUUAUUCUUAGCAGUAGUAAGAUUUUAAAAAGGAAAAUUACAGAAAGUCUUGGAUAGAUUUGUGUUUUUCACAGAAGACAAGCUGCAUAAAUUAGUGUUACCUUAUUAUAAGAAUGAAAAGGAAACCAUUUUAUAUACACUGUUCUGCUUGGGAUUUUACGAUGCAUGGUAAAAUGUAUUUCUAGGACUGAACUCCAAAACAGAGAUCUGAAUAGAGCAGCUUUGACAGUACCCAUUAGACCUAUAAAGAUGUGUAAAAUUCAUUCCAUUCUGUAAAAGUAUAAUAAUUUUCUACUC